rnacentral:rRNA from 1 species
UACAGGGGGGGCAAGCGUUAUCCGGAUUCACUGGGUUUAAAGGGUGCGUAGGCGGACAGGUAAGUCCGUGGUGAAAUCCUGCAGCUUAACUGCAGAACUGCCAUGGAUACUAUCUAUCUUGAAUAUCGUGGAGGUUAGCGGAAUAUGUCAUGUAGCGGUGAAAUGCUUAGAUAUGACAUAGAACACCCAUUGCGAAGGCAGCUAACUACGCGAUAAUUGACGCUGAUGCACGAAAAGCGUGGGGAUCAAACAGG